rnacentral:lncRNA from 1 species
AUGUGUAAAUAUGUGCCCAAUUUCAAAGUUAAUGAAACAGACUUGUCCGUGCUGUGGAAUUCUCAGGUGUAGAGCAUAAUUGUAUAGUAUCUAAAUCGGCCCAAUCUACUUAACAUUUUUGAAGUACAAAUUUGCUCAAAGCCAAUCGGGUCGGGUUUUUAGUUAGAUUUUAACCCGGAUUUUUUUUUGACCCGACUCAUUGGCCAAUCACAUCUCUCGGAUCUUUUUAAAUAAGACUUUCCAAAAAAAAAUCAAAUAAUUUGACUAAAUAUUCGCUUAGUUACAUUCCUAAUCUACCAAAUCCUAACAGUAUGUAAAUGAUCCGCAUUAAUCGUUACAAUUAGAUCCUUCCUUAUUUGAAACUUUCCUACAUAAAAUCAAAAGCCAAUCGGAUCUUGCUAAUCCUACCAAAAAACAAAUUAAAACGACAUUAGUUAUUUGAUUAUGGGUCGCAAUCAAUAAUACAGAUUCUGAUAAUAUAACAGAUAUGUUAAUCACAACCUAUUUAAUUGCUAAAUAUAUUCGGCAAAUAUCUUUUGUUUCCUAAUAAAAUUGAACAAUAUAACAUCUACAUUCAAUAGCAACAAGAACAAUUGGAAAUUUUGCAUAAAUAAACGAUUUUACUCUUAUUUUCUAUAGCAUCUAUGUGGUAUAUUAUAUAACUUUUCGAUUUUAAAGAUUUUUAAUAGCAUAUUUCCAUUUACAGCUAGAAUUAAUAUUCGUAGAUAUCUUAAUUUCAUUGAUUUUUGGAACUAAUUCCAUAACAACCUUAAUUAUUAUUUAUUUAGUUUUCUAAUUCUAGGCAAUUUAUAAUUAACUCAAGAGAUUUUGCUUGCUCAAAAAGAUUUUGCGCAAAUGUAUCAUACCUAAACCUAAUCGUAUAUGUCCUCUAUAUAUAUCCAUUUCAUUUCCAAGAGAAAACAUCACUUCUAAACAAAGUUAAAUUUUUUUUCCAAAACACCUUCAAUUCUUUUCAUCCUAAAGUUACCUCUUUUUCAUUUUCCAUUCGUAUGGUUCUUCGUGACAUGAACAAAGAUUUGACUGGCGAUUCUGUCUUAGAAUCCUUAUAAUCUGAAAGCAAAAAGGAAUUCAGAGAGAUACUACAUAAUUAGUUUUAGCGGAUGAAAGGUGGUUCAAUCGAUUUCUAUCUAACUCUUUUACUAUCAUUCUUUUUCUACCAUUUCUCAAAAAAAAUUGACAUCUUGGUUUUGUUUUUCUGAUUUGUUUCUUCUCUAUUUGUAUCUUUGAAUUGUUAGGUUGAUAGGAUUGCAACAACCUAUAAACAACGCUAAACCAAUGAUAACUCCCUCAAGUUUUCAAUCAGCAAAACAAAUGGACUCAUCAACCUAUGUCAAUCAUCAAAACAAACAUCAGGACCAAUCAAACUAAACACAUGAAGCAUCAAGUAAGCCUAUCUGGAGAGGGCAAGCACGUAAAUAAUUCUCAUCGACAUAUUAAAUAACCAAUAUGAACUAUCACAUCACGAAAAGCUUUAUAGAUAUUUCCUAUUGACAAAGUUAAUGAAUAUCACCAAGACACCAACGAUCAACAACCAUUUCUUAAUAUAUCACAAAAAUGAAAUCAAUAAAAUCAGAGUCAAUGACUAACCAAAUCAUUCCAAAUUUCCCCUACUAUGCAUUCGACCCAUGACUGCAACGGAGAAGUGAUGUUCCUCUCACUGAGAUCGUUCUUCCUCGGUUGGUUUCUCCCGGCUGCGACUCCGCUUAAGAGUAUAAAAAAACUGAAUAUUAGUAAUCAGAAGCAUUAUUCCCGAUUCAUUUCCACAACGAUUACAAAAACCUAAAUGAGAUUUUUUUUUUUGACCAAGCAAAUUUGUAGAUUAGAAAUCAGAAGCAUUAUUUCCGAUUACAUUGAUUGACGUAUUAUACAAAUAUAUUUCCAGUUCUAACUGUUAUUCACAAUCAAUUUACGCUAUUGAUGAAAUUAAUUCGAUUAUUACUAAGCAAUAACUAUGAAAUUGUCUUACCUUUGAAUCGAGACAAAAUGAACAUUUAGAUCGGAUAGGUUGUUUUCUGGUCUUCAUGGGAUAAAUUGGAUCUUCGUUCUCGCCUAGAUUGUCUUCAAUUGAAUUGUUCUUCAUCAUUUUGCAAUCACAUCUUCGAAUCAAAACCUCAGCGUGUAGUUGGAGUCGAACUAAGAUCUCGGGAAAUUUGGGUUUGGAUCUGGAGUUGUUGAACAGGUUCUUCGCUAAUUUUCAAUGCACAUGUCUAAUCGAACAAGAAAAUUGCAGAUUCUUGAAGGUUUUCAAAAGAGAUUGAAAAAGACAGAAGAAGAUGAAAGAGAUUUGUUCGGUUCUUUGUUUUCAUUGUUUUCUCAGGUAAAAAAAAAUAUUAUCUAUACCCUUUAUUCGAUAUAAUUAAUUGAAAAAUAUAGAAAUUUAAUUUGUCUAAGUAUUUUUUUUAUCCUUUCUAUUUAUUUAUUUUGUUACACUUAAGGACA